GCGCACGGCGUCAGCGUCUAGACGCAGGCCCUCCUGGUGAGAUCCCAUCACGUCCCCUGGCCUCCAGUGUCAUCUGCUCUGCAUGAUAUCUCCAGGGGGACCUCUCUGCUGGGCUCCAGGCCGCAUGGCUGUGGGUGACCAGCAUCAUGUCCCACCGGGUCCCCUGCAGUCCCAGUGCACCUGCCUGCUCAUCCAGGGACCUGUCCUCACUGCCUGCUGCCUGCACUGUGUGGAAGGACAGAGGCUAAACGACGAAGCCUCGAGCUCUGGUCUCAUGGAAAUGGCAGCCUGCCCACCACCCACGCUUGCCCAGCCUUUCUUCACGCAGUGUAUUCAGGAGUCCAUGCAGCAGGAAGUGGAGCCAUCAUCACAGGGUACGAAGGGAGGACAAGUGCAGUGUCGUGAGCAUGUACAGAGGGAAGUUGACAGCGGGGAGAGGCUUUGCUGAGGAAGUGGCGUUUGGAAGAACGAGAAUGAGAUGGGGUUUUGCCGUGUUACCCAGGCUAGUCACGAACUCCUGUGCUCAAGCGAUCUGUCUGCCUCGGCCUCCAAAGUGCUGGGAUUGCAGGCAUGAGCCACCGCGCCCAGCCAGAAAGCCACUGCUUUAUAGACCACCACUUAAAUGCACCUGGCAGCUUCAUGUACGCAAGAACUUUCCUGCAGCUCCUUUAAAUUUAAGAAUCUUUUGGCAAAAUGAAGAAUACAAGCGUGUUUCUUCUUCAUAUGCUUUGUUUUAGGAACAUUAAAAAA
ensembl:lncRNA RNF32-DT RNF32 divergent transcript